AGGCAGCAGUGGGACUCCUACGGGAGGCAGCAGUGGGACUCUCACGGGAGGCAGCAGUGGGACUCCUACGGGAGGCAGCAGUGGGACUCCUACGGGAGGCAGCAGUGGGACAGUUGGCUCAGAACGAACGCUGGCGGCGUGGCUCAGAACGAACGCUGGCGGCCCACUCCUACGGGAGGCAGCAGUGGGGCAGUUGGCUCAGAACGAACGCUGGCGGCCCACUCCUACGGGAGGCAGCAGUGGG
rnacentral:misc_RNA from 1 species